rnacentral:misc_RNA from 1 species
GAAAUGCGAUAAGUAAUGUGAAUUGCAGAAUUCCGUGAAUCAUCGAAUCUUUGAACGCACAUUGCGCCCUCUGGCAUUCCGGGGGGCAUGCCUGUCCGAGCGUCAUUACGCACCCUCAAGCCCGGCUUGUGUGAUGGGCCCCGGCGUCUCGUUCGCGAGACGGGCCCUAAAGGCAGCGGCGGCGUCGACCCGAUGAGCCCGAGCGUAUGGGGACUUCUGUCACACGUUCGCGGUGCGGACCGGCGCCUGCUUUGACUUUUCUGAUUAUCCAGGUUGACCUCGGAUCAGGUAGGGAUACCCGCUGAACUUAAGC